rnacentral:lncRNA from 1 species
CGGGAGCCCGCGGGCUCGCAAACAGCGGAUCCGCUGCGCGCUGACGAGGCCCGGGAGAGGCUGGGGCUGCGCGGGCUCCGCGCGCGCCUCGGGGGAGCGGCCGCCGGGACCCAGGACGGCCGAGGCAGCAGCGCUGCCGGCCGGGACGCGAUGGGGCGCCCGAGUCCGCGGAAUGAGCUGGGCAGCUGGCCAAGGAAGGCGCAGAACUUGUCUGGUUAUUUUUUGAGAGUAAGCUGAUGGAUUUGGAUUGAUGGGUGAAAGUGCCACAUCUUGAGCUGUCUAGACUUCAGUGUACGUGGGACACUGUGUUCCUGCCAACUUCUCCCAGCCAAAUGCAAUACCCUCUGGGCUCUUA